rnacentral:rRNA from 1 species
GAUGCACGCUAGCGGCAGGCCUAAUACAUGCAAGUCGAGGGAGAAUGUUGGAUUCGUCUGACAUGAAACCGGCGCACGGGUGCGUAACACGUAUGCAACCUACCUUUAACUGGGGUAUAGCUCAGAGAAAUCUGAAUUAAUCCCCCAUAAGACUACGACAUGGCAUCAUGAUGUAGUUAAAGCUCCGGCGGUUAAGGAUGGGCAUGCGGUACAUUAGCUAGUUGGUGAGGUAAUGGCUCACCAAGGCUACGAUGUAUAGGGGGUCUGAGAGGAUGAUCCCCCACCCUGGUACUGAGACACGGACCAGACUCCUACGGGAGGCAGCAGUAGGGAAUAUUGGUCAAUGGACGCAAGUCUGAACCAGCCAUGCCGCGUGAAGGAUGAAGGCCCUAUGGGUCGUAAACUUCUUUUAUUAGGGAAGAAAAAACGGGAUGCGUCCUGUACUGACGGUACUCAAUGAAUAAGGAUCGGCUAACUUCGUGCCAGCCGCCGCGGUAA